rnacentral:misc_RNA from 1 species
UCGUAACAAAAAUGUGCUAGGCAUGCGCUCUCGGCUGUCGCCGACUCGAAAGGUCGUGCACGCGGGAGCGUGUCCUCUCACAUAACACAAUCCAUCUCACCCUUUGUGCACCACCGCGUGGGCCCCCUUUGGGGGGCUCGCGUUUUCACACAAAACCCCCCCUUUUAAAAGUGUAGAAUGACCUCCUUUUAUAAAAUCAAUA